rnacentral:rRNA from 1 species
GAUGAACGCUGGCGGCGUGCCUAAUACAUGCAAGUCGAGCGAACGGACGAGAAGCUUGCUUCUCUGAUGUUAGCGGCGGACGGGUGAGUAACACGUGGAUCACCUACCUAUAAGACUGGGAUAACUUCGGGAAACCGGCGCUAAUACCGGAUAAUAUUUUGAACCGCAUGGUUCAAAAGUGAAAGACGGUCUUGCUGUCACUUAUAGAUGGAUCCGCGCUGCAUUAGCUAGUUGGUAAGGUAACGGCUUACCAAGGCAACGAUGCAUAGCCGACCUGAGAGGGUGAUCGGCCACACUGGAACUGAGACACGGUCCAGACUCCUACGGGAGGCAGCAGUAGGGAAUCUUCCGCAAUGGGCGAAAGCCUGACGGAGCAACGCCGCGUGAGUGAUGAAGGUCUUCGGAUCGUAAAGCUCUGUUAUUAGGGAAGAACAGAUGUGGAAGUAGAUGUGCACAUCGUGACGGUACCUAAUCAAAAAGCAACGGCUAACUACGUG